rnacentral:rRNA from 1 species
CCUACGGGGGGCUGCAGUGGGGAAUAUUGGACAAUGGGCGAAAGCCUGAUCCAGCCAUGCCGCGUGUGUGAAGAAGGCCUUCGGGUUGUAAAGCACUUUCAGUGGGGAAGAAAGCCUUGGGGCUAAUACCCUCGAGGAAGGACAUCACCCACAGAAGAAGCACCGGCUAACUCCGUGCCAGCAGCCGCGGUAAUACGGAGGGUGCGAGCGUUAAUCGGAAUUACUGGGCGUAAAGCGCGCGUAGGCGGUCUGAUAAGCCGGUUGUGAAAGCCCCGGGCUCAACCUGGGAACGGCAUCCGGAACUGUCAGGCUGAGUGCAGGAGAGGAAGGUAGAAUUCCCGGUGUAGCGGUGAAAUGCGUAGAGAUCGGGAGGAAUACCAGUGGCGAAGGCGGCCUUCUGGACUGACACUGACGCUGAGGUGCGAAAGCGUGGGUAGCAAACAGGAUUAGAUACCCUGGUAGUC